rnacentral:rRNA from 1 species
GAAACAUCUUCGGGUUGUGAGGUUAAGCGACUAAGCGUACACGGUGGAUGCCCUGGCAGUCAGAGGCGAUGAAGGACGUGCUAAUCUGCGAUAAGCGUCGGUAAGGUGAUGUGAACCGUUAUAACCGGCGAUUUCCGAAUGGGAAACCCAGUGUGAUUCGUCACACUAUCAUUAACUGAAUCCAUAGGUUAAUGAGGCGAACCGGGGGAACUGAAACAUCUAAGUACCCCGAGGAAAAGAAAUCAACCGAGAUUCCCCCAGUAGCGGCGAGCGAACGGGGAGCAGCCCAGAGCCUGAAUCAGUGUGUGUGUUAGUGGAAGCGUCUGGAAAGGCGUGCGAUACAGGGUGACAGCCCCGUACACAAAAAUGCACAUGCUGUGAGCUCGAUGAGUAGGGCGGGACACGUGGUAUCCUGUCUGAAUAUGGGGGGACCAUCCUCCAAGGCUAAAUACUCCUGACUGACCGAUAGUGAACCAGUACCGUGAGGGAAAGGCGAAAAGAACCCCGGCGAGGGGAGUGAAAAAGAACCUGAAACCGUGUACGUACAAGCAGUGGGAGCACAGAGCAAUCUGUGUGACUGCGUACCUUUUGUAUAAUGGGUCAGCGACUUAUAUUCUGUAGCAAGGUUAACCGAAUAGGGGAGCCGAAGGGAAACCGAGUCUUAACUGGGCGUUAAGUUGCAGGGUAUAGACCCGAAACCCGGUGAUCUAGCCAUGGGCAGGUUGAAGGUUGGGUAACACUAACUGGAGGACCGAACCGACUAAUGUUGAAAAAUUAGCGGAUGACUUGUGGCUGGGGGUGAAAGGCCAAUCAAACCGGGAGAUAGCUGGUUCUCCCCGAAAGCUAUUUAGGUAGCGCCUCGUGAAUUCAUCUCCGGGGGUAGAGCACUGUUUCGGCAAGGGGGUCAUCCCGACUUACCAACCCGAUGCAAACUGCGAAUACCGGAGAAUGUUAUCACGGGAGACACACGGCGGGUGCUAACGUCCGUCGUGAAGAGGGAAACAACCCAGACCGCCAGCUAAGGUCCCAAAGUCAUGGUUAAGUGGGAAACGAUGUGGGAAGGCCCAGACAGCCAGGAUGUUGGCUUAGAAGCAGCCAUCAUUUAAAGAAAGCGUAAUAGCUCACUGGUCGAGUCGGCCUGCGCGGAAGAUGUAACGGGGCUAAACCAUGCACCGAAGCUGCGGCAGCGACGCUUAUGCGUUGUUGGGUAGGGGAGCGUUCUGUAAGCCUGCGAAGGUGUGCUGUGAGGCAUGCUGGAGGUAUCAGAAGUGCGAAUGCUGACAUAAGUAACGAUAAAGCGGGUGAAAAGCCCGCUCGCCGGAAGACCAAGGGUUCCUGUCCAACGUUAAUCGGGGCAGGGUGAGUCGACCCCUAAGGCGAGGCCGAAAGGCGUAGUCGAUGGGAAACAGGUUAAUAUUCCUGUACUUGGUGUUACUGCGAAGGGGGGACGGAGAAGGCUAUGUUGGCCGGGCGACGGUUGUCCCGGUUUAAGCGUGUAGGCUGGUUUUCCAGGCAAAUCCGGAAAACUAAGGCUGAGGCGUGAUGACGAGGCACUACGGUGCUGAAGCAACAAAUGCCCUGCUUCCAGGAAAAGCCUCUAAGCAUCAGGUAACAUCAAAUCGUACCCCAAACCGACACAGGUGGUCAGGUAGAGAAUACCAAGGCGCUUGAGAGAACUCGGGUGAAGGAACUAGGCAAAAUGGUGCCGUAACUUCGGGAGAAGGCACGCUGAUAUGUAGGUGAAGCGACUUGCUCGUGGAGCUGAAAUCAGUCGAAGAUACCAGCUGGCUGCAACUGUUUAUUAAAAACACAGCACUGUGCAAACACGAAAGUGGACGUAUACGGUGUGACGCCUGCCCGGUGCCGGAAGGUUAAUUGAUGGGGUCAGCGCAAGCGAAGCUCUUGAUCGAAGCCCCGGUAAACGGCGGCCGUAACUAUAACGGUCCUAAGGUAGCGAAAUUCCUUGUCGGGUAAGUUCCGACCUGCACGAAUGGCGUAAUGAUGGCCAGGCUGUCUCCACCCGAGACUCAGUGAAAUUGAACUCGCUGUGAAGAUGCAGUGUACCCGCGGCAAGACGGAAAGACCCCGUGAACCUUUACUAUAGCUUGACACUGAACAUUGAGCCUUGAUGUGUAGGAUAGGUGGGAGGCUUUGAAGUGUGGACGCCAGUCUGCAUGGAGCCGACCUUGAAAUACCACCCUUUAAUGUUUGAUGUUCUAACGUUGACCCGUGAUCCGGGUUGCGGACAGUGUCUGGUGGGUAGUUUGACUGGGGCGGUCUCCUCCUAAAGAGUAACGGAGGAGCACGAAGGUUGGCUAAUCCUGGUCGGACAUCAGGAGGUUAGUGCAAUGGCAUAAGCCAGCUUGACUGCGAGCGUGACGGCGCGAGCAGGUGCGAAAGCAGGUCAUAGUGAUCCGGUGGUUCUGAAUGGAAGGGCCAUCGCUCAACGGAUAAAAGGUACUCCGGGGAUAACAGGCUGAUACCGCCCAAGAGUUCAUAUCGACGGCGGUGUUUGGCACCUCGAUGUCGGCUCAUCACAUCCUGGGGCUGAAGUAGGUCCCAAGGGUAUGGCUGUUCGCCAUUUAAAGUGGUACGCGAGCUGGGUUUAGAACGUCGUGAGACAGUUCGGUCCCUAUCUGCCGUGGGCGCUGGAGAACUGAGGGGGGCUGCUCCUAGUACGAGAGGACCGGAGUGGACGCAUCACUGGUGUUCGGGUUGUCAUGCCAAUGGCACUGCCCGGUAGCUAAAUGCGGAAGAGAUAAGUGCUGAAAGCAUCUAAGCACGAAACUUGCCCCGAGAUGAGUUCUCCCUGACUCCUUGAGAGUCCUGAAGGAACGUUGAAGACGACGACGUUGAUAGGCCGGGUGUGUAAGCGCAGCGAUGCGUUGAGCUAACCGGUACUAAUGAACCGUGAGGCUUAACCUU